CUGACACUAAAUUUAUAGAAUAUUUGGCUUGCAGUAAAGAUACUGAUAUAACUAAAAACUAUUUAACAUAUAAACCUUUUUCUAAAUUAGAAAAUCAAUAUCUUUUUAACAGUUUCUUACAUAUUAUUACGAAGCAUGCGAAGAAUCGAAAUAUCCUGAUGGACAUAUUAAAUGACAUUUUUUUAACAUAAGACCAAAACAUGUUGAUGUAACUGCAGCAUUAAUUAUUAUUAUUAAUAACGUAUAUUCCGUAAAUCUAACUGAGGAAAUAAAGGAAUACGUUAUAAGGUUCAAGUUCCACGCAAUCUUAUCAAUUGAGAAAAUGAAAGAAAAGGAUUCCAUAAUGCUGAAGUCUGAUAAAGUUGAAAGCAAGAUAUCAAUUCGCAACUAUCAAAUCGAAAGACAGAAGCAGUAUUAUGAAACAUUUUUCUACCAGCAGAAUAAUUACACGUUAACAUACUCUUCUUCCAAUCAACGCGAUGAAUUGUGAUAU